ACCCGCUCUAACUGCCAAAAAACACGCAACUUUUACUAGGUUUUAGACCCAAACCCUGCUUGUAAACAAACACCUUAAUUCGCGAAAACUGCCUAAACAUUAUCUUAUCUUCAAUUGAAUGUACCAAUUCAUUAGUAAGUACUUAAGUAGCUAGUCUCUAGUGCUGUUUCAGGCUCCUGAUUAUACCACAAUUAAGCAUGUGAAGCCCAUUCCACUCCCUUGGACCAUCAGUACGUAAUAGAUGUGUAAACUUACCUGAAAACUAACGAUCUAUGUGCACUUUAUAGUCCAUGGCAACGGCUGGAAGGUUUUCGUACCAUGGCACUGAUGGUUCUGUGCUGGAAACAUAUCGGGAAUCUAGACAGAAAAUCAGCAAUAUUGAAAUAUUUAGGGCUAACGUGGCAAAGCCUCCACGGUGGGCCAUUGUUGAACGCAACAGGCUAUGUGAAAGUAAAUAAAGUGUGUUGGGUUGUCUACCUGGUUUGAAAUCGACCAUGGACAUAUUGUCGAAAAAUAAAUUCAAAUUU